GAGUUUGAUCCUGGCUCAGGACGAACGCUGGCGGCGCGCCUAACACAUGCAAGUCGAACGAGCGAGAGAGAGCUUGCUUUCUCGAGCGAGUGGCGAACGGGUGAGUAACGCGUGAGGAACCUGCCUCAAAGAGGGGGACAACAGUUGGAAACGACUGCUAAUACCGCAUAAGCCCACAGCUCGGCAUCGAGCAGAGGGAAAAGGAGCAAUCCGCUUUGAGAUGGCCUCGCGUCCGAUUAGCUAGUUGGUGAGGUAAUGGCCCACCAAGGCGACGAUCGGUAGCCGGACUGAGAGGUUGAACGGCCACAUUGGGACUGAGACACGGCCCAGACUCCUACGGGAGGCAGCAGUGGGGAAUAUUGCACAAUGGGGGAAACCCUGAUGCAGCGACGCCGCGUGGAGGAAGAAGGUCUUCGGAUUGUAAACUCCUGUUGUUGAGGAAGAUAAUGACGGUACUCAACAAGGAAGUGACGGCUAACUACGUGCCAGCAGCCGCGGUAAAACGUAGGUCACAAGCGUUGUCCGGAAUUACUGGGUGUAAAGGGAGCGCAGGCGGGAAGACAAGUUGGAAGUGAAAUCUAUGGGCUCAACCCAUAAACUGCUUUCAAAACUGUUUUUCUUGAGUAGUGCAGAGGUAGGCGGAAUUCCCGGUGUAGCGGUGGAAUGCGUAGAUAUCGGGAGGAACACCAGUGGCGAAGGCGGCCUACUGGGCACCAACUGACGCUGAGGCUCGAAAGUGUGGGUAGCAAACAGGAUUAGAUACCCUGGUAGUCCACACCGUAAACGAUGAUUACUAGGUGUUGGAGGAUUGACCCCUUCAGUGCCGCAGUUAACACAAUAAGUAAUCCACCUGGGGAGUACGACCGCAAGGUUGAAACUCAAAGGAAUUGACGGGGGCCCGCACAAGCAGUGGAGUAUGUGGUUUAAUUCGACGCAACGCGAAGAACCUUACCAAGUCUUGGCAUCCCUUGACGAUGCUGGAAACAGUAUUUCUCUUCGGAGCAAGGAGACAGGUGGUGCAUGGUUGUCGUCAGCUCGUGUCGUGAGAUGUUGGGUUAAGUCCCGCAACGAGCGCAACCCUUACUGUCAGUUACUACGCAAGAGGACUCUGGCAGGACUGCCGUUGACAAAACGGAGGAAGGUGGGGAUGACGUCAAAUCAUCAUGCCCUUUAUGACUUGGGCUACACGCGUACUACAAUGGCGUUAAACAAAGAGAAGCAAGACCGCGAGGUGGAGCAAAACUCAGAAACAACGUCCCAGUUCGGACUGCAGGCUGCAACUCGCCUGCACGAAGUCGGAAUUGCUAGUAAUCGUGGAUCAGCAUGCCACGGUGAAUACGUUCCCGGGCCUUGUACACACCGCCCGUC
rnacentral:rRNA from 1 species